GGCCUACCAUGGUGGUAACGGGUAACGGGGAAUUAGGGUUCGAUUCCGGAGAGGGAGCCUGAGAAACGGCUACCACAUCCAAGGAAGGCAGCAGGCGCGCAAAUUACCCAAUCCCGACACGGGGAGGUAGUGACAAUAAAUAACAAUACGGGGCUCUUUCGGGUCUCGUAAUUGGAAUGAGUACAAUUUAAAUCCCUUAACGAGGAACAAUUGGAGGGCAAGUCUGGUGCCAGCAGCCGCGGUAAUUCCAGCUCCAAUAGCGUAUAUUAAAGUUGUUGCAGUUAAAAAGCUCGUAGUUGAAUUUCGGGAUUGACACAUCGGUCGUGCCUUAAGGGGUAUGAACUGGUGUAGUCAAUUUCUCACCUUCUGGAGAACCGCGAUGCCCUUAAUUGGGUGUCGCGGGGAACCAGGACCUUUACUUUGAAAAAAUUAGAGUGUUUAAAGCAGGCAUUUUGCUUGAAUACAUUAGCAUGGAAUAAUAAAAUAGGACGGCAUGAUUCUAUUUUGUUGGUUUCUAGGAUUGACGUAAUGAUUAAUAGGGAUAGUUGGGGGCAUUAGUAUUCAAUUGUCAGAGGUGAAAUUCUUGGAUUUAUUGAAGACUAACUACUGCGAAAGCAUUUGCCAAGGAUGUUUUCAUUAAUCAAGAACGAAAGUUAGGGGAUCGAAGACGAUCAGAUACCGUCGUAGUCUUAACCAUAAACUAUGCCGACUAGGGAUCGGAUGAUGUUAAUUUUUUAAUGACUCAUUCGCGCCUUACG
rnacentral:rRNA from 1 species